UGGUUGUGCUCAAAUUUUUUUAUUGUGUUAUUUUCAUAACUGGUUCCAAUUACUCAAGUCGGUUUCUGUUGCUUGUUCAGGUAUGCGGCCCCCCUGGAAUGAUGAACCAUAUAUCUGGUGACAAGGCGAAAGACUAUUCACAAGGCGAGGUCUCUGGCUUACUCAAGGAACUUGGAUAUACAGAACAAAUGGUUUACAAAUUUUGAUGGACUUGGAGAAAAUCAGUAUUGGUUUACUACGUUUUAACCCAAAUUUGUUAGAAAAAGUGAAUUUUGAAGCAAUACAUACAUACAGCUUCAUUGAGGACACGUGUCAUCCCGAUGUGCCCCGAGUGUUCUCAUUUUCUAGGGUUUUUAUGAACUGUCUUCUGUUAAAAUAGCAUCUUCAUGAGCCAGCAUUGCUGAUGAAACCGCAGUUAAGUUUAAGUAAAAGUUUUUUUGGUACUUACCCAAAAAAAAGUUUUUUUGGAAUA